GAAACAACACUUCCGGUUGUGGAUUUAAAAAAUAAAGCAGCUAUAAACAGUUCGAACUCCACGUUUUCAGCACAAAUAUAGUCUUAUUUUGAAGUUGGUCACAUAAUCCGUUGCUGGAUGAGGGGGUCCUACUGGCCCCCUCUAGCCAAGACCUGGGGCGGUUCUUAGCUGAGUGUGAAGCAGCUGGGAUGAAGAUCAGCACCUCCAAGUUCGAGGCCAGGGUACAAGUGUCGCUUGUCCUCUCCAGGUUGGUUCCUGUGGAGGAGUUCAAGUAUCUCGGGGUCUUAUUCAUGAGUGAGGGGUGAAGGGAGCGGGAGAUCGACAAAUGGAUCGGUGUGCCAGCUGCAGUGAUGGGGAGGCUGUGUCGAUCUGUUGUGUUGAAGAGAGAGCUGAGCCGAAAAGCGAACUUUGGGUCAUGACCAAAAGAACGAGAUCCCAGAUACAAGCGGCUGCAAUGAGCUUCCUCCGUAGGGUGGCCGGGCACUCCCUUAGAGAUAGGGUGAGGAGCUCGGCCAUCCGGGAGGGGCUCGGAGUAGAGCUGCUGCUCCUCCACAUCGAGAGGAGUCAGUUGAGGUGGCAGGGGGCUGUAUUUGUAUCAGAUGCCCCCCAGACGCCUCCCACAAGAGACUUUCUAGGCACGUCACACCGGGAGGAGGUCCAGGGGAAGGCCCAGGUCCUGGAUAAGCAGAAAACAAUGAGUACAAGUACAGGUUUACAUUUAUAUUCAGCUUAUGUUUAACGCUGUAAAAAAGCAUUUUCCCCAAAAAAGAUUUCCUGUCUUAUUGCUUUUUGUCACACUGACAUUUCGGAUCAUCAAACCAAUUUUACAACGAUGACACAAGAAAAUACAAUAUGCAGUUUUCAAAAUAGGAUUUUAUUUAAUAGAGGACAAAAAGCAAUAUGUAGCUCAUUAGUUGUUGUAAAUAAAAAGUAAUCUUCUUUUGUUUAGUUAUUAAGCAACGGUCUGGUAACAUUAAUGUAUACCUAUAAGUAAAUGGAGGAAAAUGAUGAAUAUCAAAGCAAUCAAAGUCUGAUCAUGUAGUUAAUGCAUCCCAACAUCCAUAGAAAUCCUCCUGGUUUUCAUGAAAGAUAUUGUGAGCAAAAAAAAAAAAUGUUUGGCCUGUAUGCUGUUGUGUUUUUCAAGAGAAUAAGACAGCUUUCAAAAACAUUACUUACAAAGUGCUUCACAAGUUGUGAGAUUUAAAACAAAGAAGCAUGUGGGAACAAAAACCACAUUACAAAAUAUAGUAUAGAAAAGUAUUCAUAUUUCCAGAUAUUUCCUGUUCUGAUUUUCCAGAAGAUGAAAAUAUACAAUUCUAACAAAAUUUUCAAGUUCAUGUUUUUUUAUAGAAGAAAUACAUUUUUUUGUUUAUGCUUGUACACAUGUAAAUAUUUAUUAGAGCAUUACAUGUGCAAAGCUUUAAACUCAUAUAGUCUUUAGAAAAUUCUGGGAUUGUUUUUACUGUAUUUAACUCAAUAUAUAGAAGCAAACAAUAUGACCAUUAUCACCAUUUCUCCUUGUAAAAUGAUUUUAAUGGAAGACAUAUUACAUGCAAUACUGUAAAAGAUGCAAUUGUUAAUUUUUUCGAGCUGUUCAAAGUGUUCAUCUAAAUUCCCAGACACUUUUUAAUUAUAAAUCCAAUAAAAAUGGGCAUAAACAAAAUUUAAAACUAUUUAAUAGGGACUUGCUGCAGCCAUUUGGGAUGUGCAAGAACAUAAAAGAAAUAAAACAUGAAUUAGAUCAUUUUUUUGCAACCUUUGUUUUAAAGAUAAAAUAAUUUUACUUCCCAAAACUUACUAAAAAACUAAACCUUUGCUUUGAUUGUAUUCAUGAUGACACUGAAAUAUUAAUUCAUGAAAUAAAAAACAGGUUUUGCUUAAGCAGGAAAAAAUAUUUUGAUUGGUUAAAAGUGUAUAACUGCUACAGGACAUACUAAUGCUUAUUUCAUAAGGUGAAUUUAUUUUUAUUUGUGAGGUAAAAUUAGUCCAAAUAACAUUUUGAAAGUUAUUACUGAUGUAUUCAGAUCUAGCAUCUAUGGAAAACAGCUUCCAAUGUUUUAAAAAAGCUGGUAGCAUGUCUUUUUUAUUUUCAAAAUGCAACUAUUACUAAACAAAAUUUGUGCCUAGACCUGCAAUCAAUUAUGUUAAAUUUGUCACUGUCACUCCAAUGUGAUCAAAAUGCAUCAUACUGAGGCUUUUACCUUGAAAGGACAAACAACUUCCGGUUAGGUCCAUUCUCACACAUGUGAGCUUGACUGCAUGUUUCAGAGGAAGUAGACAUUAAAUUAAACCACUUGAGGUAGAGGGGAUUUUUUUAAAAAUGGGCAGUUACUGGCUAAACCGGUUGGUUUGGGGAGUUUGUGUCACAGGGAAGAGACUCCAUUUAUUUUCAUUCAGACCUGACCUUUUAAACAUCUGCACAAAGACAGAUGAGACACAUGCAGAAUGAGGAAGCAGCAUAAGUUAGAAGCAAAGCUGAAAGCAGAACAAAGGGAACCUGGACGAAGCAGCAUAUCAGGAGAACUGGAGGGCUGUUGCCCAUGACUGAAUGAAGAAAGCUGGAGAUGCCAGGUGCUGCUUCCCUCCACAUGUUCUGGCUCUGAGGAAUAUUUUCUGGCUCAUAACUCAGAGAAAGCUGCACAGUGAACCCUCGCCAGUCUAACAGAGAGAGAGUAUUUGUUUCUCAGAAGUACAGACUUAAAACUUUGGUAUAAAGUGCCUUGCAAAAGUAUUUAUACUCUUUUUCACUACUUUUACACAUUUUGUCACGUAACAACCCCAAACCUAAACGCAUUAACACAAAAUAGUGCAUUAUUGUCAAGGGAAAGGAAAACGAUGCAGAGUUUUCAUAAUUUAUUACAAAAUAAAAUCUGAAAAGUGUAACAUGCAUUUACUCUGAUUGCCCAAAAAAAAAAAAAAAACACAUUUAAGGAAGAGAUACAAGAAGAAAACCAUUGUUGAAAGAAAGCCAUCAGAAUUCCUGUUUGUUGUUUACUAAAAGCCAUCUGGGGGACGAAGGAAAUAUGGCAGAAAUGCUUUGGUCAAAUAACACAAAAAAUUAACCUGUAUGCAAAAUGAUACUAAUGGUGGAAAACAAACAUUCACAUCACCUUGAACACACCAUCCCCAGGUUAAAACAUGUUGGUGGCAUCUGGGAACCCAGUUUUAUGUAGACAUAAAAGGAUUCUUAAAGAACCUCCUGCUCCAAUAACACCUUCAAGGUUUUUUUUAUUCUGCGUUGAUUAGUCUCAUUCCUUCAGUUUCCCUACUCAGCAACCACCCACAGCUGUUCUGCAUUCCUCUGAUUAAACUCACCUGGUUUCAUGUCAUUUAUGUCCUCCUCGGUAUUUACACUCCUUGAUUUCUAUUGUUUGCUGCUGGUUUCUCCUGUUGUGCCCUUCCUAGUUUCUUGUCCUGCUCUCCUUGUGCCUAGCCAGUACGUUUUUGCUCUGUUAUCAUUAAAUUCUUCUGUAUCACAGUACUGGGUUGCAGUGUU